CCAACACUCUAGGAAUUGCAGGGGAGGACAUCUGGGGACUGAUGAACAGUGCCGGCGCGUGGAUCCACGCACCACCGUCACUGGCGGCGCGUGGGUUCACGCGCCGCUGCUGGAAACCAGAAAAAACAGAGGCGCCUGGAGUGGCUUCUUCUCCUCUUCAAUUUUCAACUGGCGAUGAGGGUCCGAUCACCUGCAAACACACAAAAAAAACGCAAACAAAGCAGUUGAUUUUAGUUUUUUUGUUUCAGAUCUGUUUUUAAAUUUUUUUUCUUCUGCCCGUUUCGGAUCUGCUCAUUACAGAUCUGUUCUUUUCGUUUCCCUAGGCGGCGGUCGGCUCUGAGGGGAGAAGAAGACGGCGGGGCCGCCGCUGCGUUUGGUGGAGGAGCUGGAGACGGUGCCGAAGGAGAUGACGAAGACUGCUGGAGGCAGUGAGCUGGGUGUGGCUGGAAAUGGCUGGGACUAUGGAGGGAACAGCCAACCUCUGUUUCUGGGAGAACCGAGAGAGGGAGGUUGUGGAUUGGAGACGGCGAUGCUGGCUUACUGGCGGUGAAAACCGGCUGAAAGGAGAGUGAGGCAGAUGUAGGAGAGGGUGUCCGGUGCUCUCUGAUUCCUGGCCUCAAGAGAGAAGGAAGGGGAUGAGCAGCGGCUGGUUUAUGUGGGUGAGAGGGUCUGGUGCUUAGAAAAAUUGGAACCGGGGAGUGGUUCUGCGUUGUUAGCUGAAAAUGAGAGGAAAUGGGGGGAAGAUCAGUUGUGGUUUUUUAAGGACAACGAAGGCUGGUCUGCUCGUGUUUGGUUGCAACCGAGAGGGCUGAGGGAGACCGCAGGGGGAAGAAGAUUGGCCGCUAUUGAAGUUGCGGAGGAGGACGAUCUGGUGAUGGGGGGAUCGUGGAAGAGCAGGGAAGCAGACGAUGGAACCGGCUAUGGGUUUCUUUUUUUUUUUUAGGCUGAGGGCCAGCGGUUCACCGGCUGAGGGAGAAGAGAAAAUAAAUCAAAAGGGGGGCUCUUUGGUUUGUCAAUGUUGCUGCUGUAUUGGGGAAGCAAAAGCGGGGAGAAGAAAAUAAAUCAGAAGGGGGAGCUGCCGGCUGUAGUUGGAGAAAAACCAAAAACCAGUGGGGGGCGGCUGUGUAUUUUUUUUUUAGGGUUCUCUCAUUCCUUCCAAAAUUACAAAAUGAACCCCCCUCCAAAAUGAGUUAAAAACUGCUAUUUAUAGGCAAAACAUUUUUUCGGGUUUCCAAAUCGGUCCCCCAAUUUUUUUGUGUUCAAUUGACUUGGUAAAAAUUAAAUUUGAUCUUAAAAUUUUAAUCUUUUCAAUUCAGUCCAAAUUAAGCUCCCAAACUUAAUUUUUCACCAAUUAAGCCCCCAAAUUAAUUUGACCCAUUUAAAGUAUAAUCAAGUCCUUGCACUUAAUUAAAUCCUUCAAUUGGACCUAAAUUGAUUCUCAAACAUAAUUAAAAUUUAAUUUGACCCAUGAUUAAAUCAAAUUGGCCCAUUAAAAAUUUAAUUAUGUCAUUGGACUUAAUUUUUAUGCAAAUUCAUCCAAUAAUCAUUUGAUUUGACCUUCGAAUAUGCAUUUAAUUUGACCUUCGAUUUUUGCCUAUUUUUGCAGUCUUUUUUUAUUGGCUUUCUCCGCAGUGCCAGCCUUUAUUUUAUUUUUUAUUUUUUUUUAUUUUUAAAAAAGUGAAAUUUAGGGAAUAACCCAAAAUUGGGUUAUGACAGUUGCCCCCCUCUUUACAAUGCUUAUGAUAGAAAGUCUCGUAGGGGACUUUAGAUAGUAAGCGUUGUAAAGAAGAAAAAAGGAAGAUGUUUUUUUUUUUUUUUUUUUUUUUUUUUUUUUAAAAAUUCAAAGAUUUUGAAAUGGUCGAAUUUUCAUGGGUGACCUACCCGGGUGAAAAACACGAAGAUGUUUUAAAGUGGUGAAAAAUACAGAGAUUUUUCAAAGAGGUGAAAAAUACAGAGAUUUUCCAAAGUGGUGAAAAAUACAGAGAUUUUUCAAAGUGGUGAGAAAUACGAAGAUUUCUAAAAAUGGUUUUAUUGUUAUGGGCAACCGGCCCAGAUGAAAGGUUUUGAAAAAUACAAAGAUUUUUUCAAAUAGGUAAAAAAUGCAGAGAUUUUUCAAAGUGGUGAGAAAUGCAAAGAUUUCUCAAGAUGGUGAAAAAUUUUAGAGGUGGUGAGAAAUGCAAAGAUUUCUCAAAAUGAUGAAAAAUGCAAAGAUUUUUCAAAGUGGUUUUGUUGUAAUGGGCAAACGGCCCAAUUGAAAGGUUUUGAAAAACACAAAGAUUUUUUCAAAGAGGUGAAAAAUGCAGAGAUUUUUCAAAGUGGUGAGAAAUGCGAAGAUUUCUCAAAAAUGAUCUUGUUGUGAUGGGCGACUUGCCUAGAUGGAAAGUGAUGAAAAAUGCAAAGAUUUUUCAAAGUGGUGAGAAAUACAAAGAUUUCUCAAAGUGGUGAAAAAUGCAGAGAUUUUUCAAAGUGGUUUUAUUGUAAUGGGCAACCGGCCCGAUGGAAAGGUUUGAGAGUGGGGAGAAAUGCAAGGAUUUCUCAAAAUUGGUGAAAAAUGUAAAGAUUUUUCAAGGUGGUGAAAAAUGCAGAGAUUUUUCAAAGUGGUUUUAUUGUUAUGGGCAACCGGCCCAAAUGGAAGAUGAAAAGAGUUUUGAAAGAAGUCUGAUUAUAAUGGGUGACCUGCCCGGGUGAAAAGGCAAAAUGUCUCAAAGGGACGACAUGAUAGGACUCGAUGGGGAACGAGGGCUGAAGAGCGCACUCGAAAGGAGAUAGGGUUCGAAAAACACACUACCUAAGAGGUGAGUGCUCCAAGGCGCACUCUAAAGAAGGCAAAAAGGGCUAGAAAGCACACCACACAAGAGGUGAGGACUCGAAGGAGCUCUCAAAAGGAGGCAAGGUUGGAAAACGCACUACCUGAGGGGUAAGGGUUCAAAGGAGCAUUCAAAAGGAGGUAGGGUUGGAAAACUCACUACCUAAAGUGGUGAGGGCUCGAAGGAGCAUACGAAAGGAGGUAAGGUUGGGAAACACACUACCUAAAGUGGUUGAAGGCUCGAAGGCGUACUAAAAAAGGAGGCAGGGUUGGAAAACACACUACGUAAAGGUGAUCGAGGGCUCAAAGGUGCACUCGAAAAGAGGUAAGGAGGUAAGGUUGGAAAAUGCCCUACCUAAGGUGGUUAAUGGCCCUAAGGCGCACUUAAAAAGAGAUAGGGUUGGAAAACGCACUACCUAAGGGUUUGAUGGCUCUAAGGCGCACUUAAAAGGAGAUAGGGUUGAAAAACACACUACCUAUAGGUGAUCGAAGGCUCUAAGGCGCACUCAAAAGGGGAGGUAGGGUCAGAAAAACACACUACCUAAAGUGGUUGAUGGCUCGAAGGCGCACUAAAAAGGAGGUAAGGUUGGAAAACACAUUACCUAAAGGUGAUCAAGGGCUCAAAGGUGCACUCGAAAAGAGGUAAGGAGGUAAGGUUGGAAAAUGCCCUACCUAAGGUGGUUAAUGGCCCUAAGGCGCACUUAAAAAGAGAUAGGGUUGGAAAACGCACUACCUAAGGGUUUGAUGGCUCUAAGGCGCACUUAAAAGGAGAUAGGGUUGAAAAACGCACUACCUAUAGGUGAUCGAAGGCUCUAAGGCGCACUCAAAAGGGGAGGUAGGGUCAGAAAAACACACUACCUAAAGUGGUUGAUGGCUCGAAGGCGCAUUAAAAAGGAGGUAAGGUUGGAAAACACAUUACACAAGAGGUGAGGGCUCGAAGGAGCUCUCAAAAAGAGAGGCAUGGUUUGGAAAACACACUACCUAAGAGGUUAGGGCUCGAAGGCGCACUCUAAAGGAGGCAAAAAGGGCUAGAAAGCACACCACCCGAGAGGUGAGGUAUCGACGAUAUAUUCGAAAGGAGGUAAGGUUUGAAAACGCACUACCUAAAGUGGUGAGGGCUCAAAGACGCCCUUAAAAGGAGAGGUAGGGUCAGAAAACACACUACCUAAGAUGGCUGGAGGCUCUAAAGCGCAUUCAAAAGGAGGUAUGGUUAGAAAACACAUUACCCAAGGGGUGAGGGCUAAAAGACGCCCUCAGAAGGAGGUAGGGUUGGAAAACACACUACCUAAAAGGUUAUGGCUCAAAGGCACACUAAAAAAGAGGUAGAGUUAGAAAACACACUACCUAAAAGGUUAGGGCUCAAAGGCACACUAAAAAAGAGGUAGGGUUAGAAAACACCCUACCUAAGGGGUGAGGGCUAAAAGACGCCCUCAGAAGGAGGUAGGGUUGGAAAACACACUACCUAAAAGGUUAGGCUUCAGCAACCCGCUCAAAAAGAGGUGAUGGUGAGACACCGAUCUGUCAAGGAUGAAAGUAAUGCAUCAUGAUCAAUAUGCAUGUAUACUUACCUGAGAAGUAUAGGUCCCCUUUUUCUUCAUGGAGUUCUCCUUUUCUCAAAAGUUUGAGUCUCUAAUAAUAAGCUUUGAUGGCUCUUUUCGCUCUUGCUUACUCGAGUCAUAUCUUACGAUCUUGGCCUCUAAGAAAGACUUGAUGUCAUCAUUUCUUUGUUCUCCGCCCCUUUUAUCUCAAGGGUUGCAAAUUUUGCCCAAUAGUUUCUUCGAAAGGGAAUCACGGAGCAAGCUCUACCAGAUGUUUUUGAUUGCCCCCUAGCUUGAUCAUGCCCCCAAGUAUUCAAUUCGGGUUUGGGGAUGAGGCUAUGUGAUGGAAGGUUUGACAAGGAGUUGUUUUCAUGCAGAAGUUUUGGAAUUUCAAAGCUAUUCCAGACACAGAAAUCAUUUUAACAUCGAUUCAAAGCGAACUCAUUCUGAAGAAAUUCAAGUGAUUCCUAUGGAGAGGUUUUCAGAAGUGAUGAAAACUUUUUUUGUUUUGUUUUUGGGUGAAAAUAUGAAGAAUAUGAAGUGACAUUUGGUUGGUCACAAAAGGUUGAAAUUUCAAUUUGUGGGUUAUUAAGAACUGUUGGUGAAGCAUUCAUUUUAUUUGCAUGAAUAAUGACUUUAUCUCGCAUGAGAAAGCACUGCCUAUCGAUCCAGAUUGCUUGCCUUUGAUCAGAAAGGGCUUCAUUAGGCACGUAAUGUAGGCUUGGGCUAUUGGCUAUGAAGAAAAGGAUAUUUGUAGGCUCAAAAGGUGUUUAAGGGAUUUUAAGACUAAGAAUCACUAGUGCUUAUAUCCCAAACUCUUUUGUUCAUACAUUUCUGGACCUUGGAAUUGAUUUGUAAAAAUGGUCCACGGUGCCCCCCAGUGUUGGGUUUGGGAUGUUUCUCUUUGUUUUUGUUUUCUUCAUUUGAUUUUGAGCAUCAUUGCAUUGGCCUUUUUUUUUUUCUUUUUUUUUUGCUCAAAUUUUUUGGAUCCUUUGGAUUUUUCUUCAUGCCCCCAAGAGUUAUUUAGGCACUUUCAAUCAUUAUGGAUUUUUUUGCACUUGCCCCCAGUGUAGGGUGUGAUCCUAGCCAAGGUUAUUUUUCAAGAAAAAUUUAUUAGGCUCAAAAGGGGACUGCAAAUGAUAUAUUUCAGCAAUGUGAAAGGAUUAUCAAAGAUGGCCUUUCUUCAUCUCAAAUGCAUGCAUUUAGGAUCGGUAAGCCUUGCUUUCAUGCGAGUAUGCAGCGUGAUUUCUCAUUAUUCAUGCAAUCAAAACUCAGCUUUUGGAGUCACUUCAUGGUGUUUUUUUUUGGGUUUUCUAGGUGCAUGGUUACCUCUCUAAGGAAUCACCUGAAUUUCCAGAACUCGUUCGUUUCAAACAAACAUCAACAUGAUUUCUGUUUGUACUAAACUUUGAAUUCCCAAAAAUCCUUAUGAAAACAUGGGGUCCUGUUUUGUUUUGGGAAGAAAAGAGGAAACGCACCACAAGAUUUUGGGCGCGGUGGUUUCAUGCUUAAAGGUUACGCUCAAUGUGUUAUUUGCAUGAAACAACAAAAAUGAUGGCAUGUGAUGAACACAACAAAACACAUGAUAAAGGCUCAGUGGACAGGGAAAGUCUUGUGGAAUUUUGAGCCAAAUUACCAACAAAAACUAGAAUAGGUUGAAACAAAAAAUCAAGUUUUUGGAGGCAUGAUCAAACUGAGGUAGUUAUUUUGGCAGAGCAAGAACAGGCUCCAUUCUACAACAAUGAUGCAAUUCACCUUCAAAUUGUGUUGAGGCUCUUGAUCAUGUGGGCCCCCAAUUUCUUCAUGUUGAGUCUUUGUUGGGGCUGCGAACAAAAAUGACUGGCCAAUUGGAAGGACCUUCACUAGAGGCAUUUCUAAGUGUUUGCUCGAGUAAGCUAGUGAGGCGAGCCACACUUGCUUUCAGAGACUCUAACUCUUCUUGGAAAUGGAUGCUGCGGUGAGCACGCUCUUUGUCUCCAAUGUUUUUCUCUCAAAAUCAGGUGUUGUAGACUCGGAGGGGACCUACUUUUUAUUCUGGUGCAUGCAUGACAAAUGUAUGAACAUGAAGUCUAUAUGAUAAACUCGCCCUUCGAGGGGUGACAACAUGGUCGUAACUCUUGUAUGAUGGAACAAGAAUUGUGAUUUUUGCCCAAACUCUACAAUGAAAAAUUUCCGAGUGACGACCAAUGUGUCACCCACAAAUCUUGAGUUCAAGAUGCUUCAAGAAGGGUUCGCCCUUGAUGCAAAUAAAUGAUAGCACAUACAACCUAAGGACAGGUUCUAUUCAUUGUGUGAACAUGGGUAGGUUUUCUACCUGGUCUCAAAAGGGUCUAUGAACUGCCCAGUGACGACCUCACGUGAAGGCAGUAUAGGGGUUUACAAGGAAUGGUUGGGGCACCAUGUGACCGCCAUUACCAAGUAAACACUCAGCUCAUAGUUGGAUGUUUCACAAAUCUGAACCCCGACUAAAAGUCAUGAGGUAGACUGCUACUCCCCACCUAACUUAGAAGCUUGUGUGUGCUUUCAAAAAUAAAUACAAGUGAUACAUGAAACAAUUCUAAAAAUGCAUGCAUAAAAUAAAGCAAGAAAAAAAAUGGCAAAAAUUAAACACAUCAAGUACACAAAGCUUAGUCCAAAAUUGUCAGAAACAAUACCUCCCCAGUGGAGUCGCCAUUCUGUCGCACGUCGAAAAAUUCCCGCGCGCGGCAAUCGGCUGGCGAUUUGUCUCGUUGUUUGUAUCGCUUGAAUUGGUUCGUUAGGAGUCGCCACCUAGUAUUUAAUUGAGGUUACUAGGAAACCCUGGUGGACUGGUCAUGGUCAAAGAUUCGCGGGUAAGGGACUGAUUGUGAUUAGGGAAGGUGUUAGCACCCCUAACACACCCUACCUGAGGUAAGCUGCUCCGUGGACUUGACGUGUUAAAGAAGUUUUAAAAAUUGUCUUUUCAUCGGAUUUUAGAAAUAUAACUUCCGUACAAGUUUAUAUUUCUACACCGUGAUCCAAUCAAAAUAUUAAAUCCUUCUUUAUUCUAUGCUGUCUCAUCACAAAAAAAAUUCAUUAAACGAAUGUAAACAUGCAUUUUUUAUUAUAUAUUUCUUUCUUUUUCUUUUUUUCUUUUACAUUUACAUUUACAAAAAUGCAAAUUCAAAAACUAAAUAAAAAUUACAUUAAAUAACUUAAAAUUUACAAAAUAGUCCCCCAACACUCUAGGAAUUGCAGGGGAGGACAUCUGGGGACUGCAUGAACAGUGCCGGCGCGUGGAUCCACGCACCACCGUCACUGGCGGCGCGUGGGUUCACGCGCCGCUGCUGGAAACCAGAAAAAACAGAGGCGCCUGGAGUGGCUUCUUCUCCUCUUCAAUUUUCAACUGGCGAUGAGGGUCCGAUCACCUGCAAACACACAAAAAAAACGCAAACAAAGCAGUUGAUUUUAGUUUUUUUGUUUCAGAUCUGUUUUUAAAUUUUUUUUCUUCUGCCCGUUUCGGAUCUGCUCAUUACAGAUCUGUUCUUUUCGUUUCCCUAGGCGGCGGUCGGCUCUGAGGGGAGAAGAAGACGGCGGGGCCGCCGCUGCGUUUGGUGGAGGAGCUGGAGACGGUGCCGAAGGAGAUGACGAAGACUGCUGGAGGCAGUGAGCUGGGUGUGGCUGGAAAUGGCUGGGACUAUGGAGGGAACAGCCAAC
rnacentral:lncRNA from 1 species